GGCUCUGUGAGUAGUUCUUGGAGGUAUGAGCACUCAACGUGAGAAGUGAGGAAGGUGGGAAUAUGAAAUGUUAGGGAGCCUGGGAGAGAGAGCAUGGAUGGUCCCUGGAGCGCAGCCACCGCCGGUUCUUCUGAGCAGAGAUGAUAUACUAUUUGAGAUGUUCAUCGGACAGGACAUAAGCCAGAGACAAAACUGGGUUAAGAAGUGAGAAGUGGAACUGAGCACAGCGAUGGACAGACCACAGACACUGGAGUCCAUGGUUCUAUCAGUGAGGCUGGGAGACAAGUCUAGAAUAUCAGACUUUUGUUCUGGCUCACCCUCAAUUCCUUUCUAUUCAUUCUAUUCACCCAACAAAUAUUUCUAUUUGUUA